rnacentral:tRNA from 1 species
GCAGCCUUGGCCGAAAGGUUAACCUGUCCGCUUAGUAAGCGGAAGAUCAUGGGUUCGAUUCCCAUCUGCU